CAGUCGUACCGGCGGAUAAUCAGCCUCUCGGGUGCGAUUCUGUGGGGCGUGAGGAGCUUAACCGCCUUCAUGUUUUGCAUAUUCGUGCACAUUUGGUGUACUUGUCCGUGUGGUGGGUUAACAUCAAUUUCGGUCGUCAUAAAAUGAUUGGAGGAAUGUAGCUUUGGUCUCGUAUCGAAGUGUUAUAGACUCUGGUAGAUGUGACGAUUGGGAUUGAGGAUUGCAACGGAUACCCUUCAGGGCUAUUCGUCUGAUCCCUGAUACGUUGCCUUGAUGUUGAAGCUUGCUUAUGA
rnacentral:rRNA from 1 species